rnacentral:rRNA from 1 species
GACGAACGCUGGCGGCGCGCCUAACACAUGCAAGUCGAACGGAGGCAAGAGGAGCUUGCUCUUCUUGACUUAGUGGCGAACGGGUGAGUAACGCGUGAGUAACCUGCCCUUGAGUGGGGGAGAACAGCGGGAAACGACUGCUAAUACCGCAUAAGCCCACGGAUCUGCAUGGGUCUGCGGGAAAAGGAUUUUUUCGCUCUAGUAUGGACUGGGGUCCAAUUCGCUAGUUGGUGGGGUAACGGCCCACCAAGGGGACGAUCGGUAGCCGGGCUGAGAGGUUGAGCCGCCACUUUGGGGCUGGGCAACGGCCCAGACUCCUACGCGAGGCAGCAGUGGGGGAUAUUGCAAAAUGGCGGAAACCCUGAUGCAGCUACGCCGCGUGAAGGAAGAAGGUUUUCGGAUUGUAAACUCCUGUCAUUAGGGACGAUAAUGACGGUACCUAACAAGAAAGCACCGGCUAACUACGUG